AAAGCAUAUAAUGAACGAGCUUAGUCACUUUUGUGGCAUCACGACUUGCAUAUAUGGGUAUCUCAAUAAAUCUGCUGGGAGUUGAUCAAUCAAGCUACGACAAAUCGCGUGGGAGAGCCAUUGUUAGGAUAUCUAACUAAGAAAGAAACAGAGAUUUUGCGUGAAGCGAGGGAAUGCCAAGAAGCUAAAACCCGACCAACAAAACUGAUUAUCACCACUUAUUAGGAGAGUAAGGUGGAACAAAAGUGCGUGGAUCAUGAAGUAUGCUAAGAAGGAUUUCAAUCGUGCUAGGAGUGUUUGGGAGCGCGCACUGGAUGUCAAUUGAAGCAACUAAAGGGUGGUGUUACACAGCAUGUCCAAGAUGUGGUCAAUACUGAGUGGAUUUGUAUGCGUGACGGCACACAGAAAAAGCGAACACAAUGUACCGAAUCAUUUCGACAAUCUCGGACAGCACGGAAAGCAUGUCGACAGUUAUUUUCUAUGGUGCAGGGAGACAGCUGUUAGCAAUGACAUGCGAGGAGUUGGCUGCGACUGAGGACCCCAUGAAAAAGUUGUACU
rnacentral:lncRNA from 1 species